GCGAGAGCGAGAGAGAGAGAGAGAGAGCGUCACACACACAUCUCUGCCGGAAGUGAUGUCACGGCAUGGGCGCCCGCCCACCGGAGGAGCGACUGGAGUUGAUCGGCUGGGCGCUCAGCUGGGAUCCUUGAUGGACAGUGCCUAAGCAUGGAGGCAACUGCAGGUUUCUGGCCAGGGCCACUCUCUGGUGAAACUAAAAGGUCCAUGUGGAAGCACCUGACUGCCACCACCUGGUUCAGGAUCAAGUCUGUGAUACCUGAAGCCUCAGACCUGGAACCUGAAGUUUCCUUCAGCCACUACACCUGUGAACCUGUGGAAGACCUGAAGUGCCUGUUUAGAAGACAGCCAAAAGAUAAGUAAAUGCCUACCAACUUUCCUUGGUGUUUUUGUUGCAUAGUUAUUGUAGGUUGGAUAAUAAUAGCCAUAUUUUUAUAUAUUUGGCUGGAUAAUAAUAGCCAUAUUUUUAUAUAUUUUUGCAGUUUUUCUUUUUUCAAAUGUUUGGAAUCACUCCCUUUGUAGCAAUUAAGCAGAAUGUUUUAAUUUCUCCCUAUAACAAACAUUCCUGAUAGCAUAGGUAUCCACCCCCUGAAGUUCCCAUUAGAUCUUUUAACCAAAUUCAUUUCCUCUCACCUAGAGACCAUUGAGCUUCAUAUGAUCAUGCAACAACAUUGCCAGCCAGUUCCAAAUGAAGAUAGCACCCCCAGCGAUCAAUAAACUACCCUGCCUCCACUGGAUAGAGCAGGGAAAAAUUUCCAUGAUCAGCAAUAGGUAGGGAUUGCACCCCAAGUUAGCAUGAAGCAGCUACAGAAGAAAGACCAUCAAUCCCUCUGCUUCCCAUAAAGAUUUAUGGGAAUCACAUCUCUCAGGGGGAAUAUGAGGCAGGAAAAUAGGGUCUGGAAGCAGGGAACCUAAGGUUUAUUCAUGCUGACUGGAUAUCAGAGGCUACUCUCUUUACGACCUCUCCUUCUCUGUGGCAGUUGAAAAAUGAGACCAAUAUCCCUGAUGAACAUCAAUGCAAAAAUCCUCAAUAAAAUAUUGGCAAACAGAAUCCAGCAGCACAU
rnacentral:lncRNA from 1 species